CAGACAGAAUGGGGUUACUGAGCCAUGAUCAACGCUGGAGCCGGAAUGGCAUCAUUGCUUGAGGUUGGAAAAGACCUCUAAGAUCAUCAAGUCUUGCCUAUUCUAUCAGACACACCAGUGUUUGGGAAAGCUUCAGAAGAGGACUUUGGACAGGCAGCUGUGCAAAACGAGCCUUGUGACAGAAACAUCGGUGGUAUACUGCUU